UUAAUUUGACUCAACACGGGGAAACUUACCAGGUCCAGACAUAGUAAGGAUUGACAGACUGAGAGCUCUUUCUAUUUUUUUUGAUCGAAGAUGUAAAUAUAUAAAUCAAAAAAGUCGUAGACA
rnacentral:ncRNA from 1 species